UCAGAAAAACCCAAUGGCCCGCGACGUAAGCGUAACGUCUUGUCAGUAGUUGCAUUUUCUCUCUACAAGAAACACGUAGUAAAACGACUUGAACAAAAGACUGCAUAGCGACAUCUCGUUUUCGUUUAAACAUAAACAAAAAUAUCAAGUGACGCUGCUAUUAUCAUAUCGAAUACAUUCGGGAUAAAUUUCAUUUUCAAUUAUAUAGAAACUUCAUAAAUACCGGAAAUGCGUGUGUAUCUUGCCGUAGCAGUUAUCAUCGCGUUUGUGGCAGCCGCCGCCGCACAGGGACCGGCUCCCGGAGCUUCCGGUACAAACGCCGCGUUAAUGCGUGCGAUGGCGAUGGGGGCGGGGCAGUCAGCCCCGGGCGCCAGAAGCUCCGGAUUUAACCCAAUGUUGUUGAUGAUGUCAGGAGGAGUUGACAUGGGUUCAAUGAUGGAGUACCAACUUUGUACAAGAAUGAUGGGCAACCCGAUAUUUUGCAUGCACUAUUUAAACUAAGGAAAUGACUCUGGACGUCGUUGAACUUGGAUGACAUCAGAUAUACCCUGUGACAUAGUUUAAUUAACAACGUGUUCGUUGAUGUAACGAUAAAUGCAAAAAGAAUGUAAUUUUUUUUCAACGUCACCGAUGUUAACGUCAUUUUGUGGCCAGCCGACAACGUCAUGUAUUAAGACGAUGAUUUAUUGUGUGCGACGAUGAAUGCGCAGGCAUACAAUCUACCUACCUUAACGUUUUAAUUUUUUUUUAAAUAGUGAUACAAUUAAUAUAAAUUUAUAUAUAAUGAAAACAGAAUUAUUGUGUAGUAUGGUAUAUUUUCGGUUUUAUAAAAAUGUGUGAUCGGUUGUUUGAAUUUCGUACUGACUUAUUUACACGUGUGUUUAUCAUUUCAUUUGGUUUAUAGAUUACAUUUUACUUGUAUGCUUUUUUACUUCAUUAUAACCGGAACAUCUAAAAAACACAAUAUGUUUAAACUCGAUGAACAGCUUAUGCCUAGAUAAUGACUAAGAAAAAUAUCAAAGAACACUAUGAAAUACACUAGCUACUUGCAAUACCUGCAAUUGACCACUGACUCCCAUCCUUCUGCCAAUAAAUAAUAUUUAUCAAGUAA